rnacentral:rRNA from 1 species
AUGACGUCAAUCAUCAUGCCCCUUAUGACCUGGGCUACACACGUGCUACAAUGGGAAGUACAACGAGUUGCGAAGUCGCGAGGCUAAGCUAAUCUCUUAAAGCUUCUCUCAGUUCGGAUUGUAGGCUGCAACUCGCCUACAUGAAGCCGGAAUCGCUAGUAAUCGCGGAUCAGCACGCCGCGGUGAAUACGUUCCCGGGCCUUGUACACACCGCCCGUCACACCACGAGAGUUUGUAACACCCGAAGUCGGUGAGGUAACCUUUUGGAGCCCGCCGCCUAAGGUGGGAUAGAUGAUUGGGGUGAAGUCGUAACAGGGUAACCGUAUA